UACGAAGGGGGCUAGCGUUGCUCGGAAUCACUGGGCGUAAAGCGCACGUAGGCGGAUUGUUAAGUCAGGGGUGAAAUCCUGGAGCUCAACUCCAGAACUGCCUUUGAUACUGGCGACCUUGAGUAUGGCAGAGGUGUGUGGAACUCCGAGUGUAGAGGUGAAAUUCGUAGAUAUUCGGAAGAACACCAGUGGCGAAGGCGACACACUGGGCCAUUACUGACGCUGAGGCGCGAAAGCGUGGGGGAGCAAAACAGG
rnacentral:rRNA from 1 species